AAACAUGUCUUUUUGAAAUUAAUUUAAAGUYUGAUYUGCUCCAUGAUAAUUUAUUAAAUAGCUGCAGAAUUUUAACUGUACAAAGGUAGCAUAAUCAAUAGUUUUUUAAUUGAAAGCUGGAAUGAAUGAUUUAAUAAAGUAAUUAUUGUCUCAAAUUUAAUAAAGUUAUAAUUUUUUUUUUAGUAAAAAUACUAAAAAUUAUUUAAAGGACGAGAAGACCCUAUAGAUUUUUAUAUUUUAAAUUAAAUUAAUUUAAAUAAAUUAAUAAAUUUUAAUUAAAAAAUAUUUGAUUGGGGUAAUUAUUAAAUUUAUAAAAUUUUAAUUAAUUAAAACCUAAAAUUAUAGAAUUUUUGAUCUUAAUUUUUUAAAUUAUUAGAAUAAAUUACCUUAGGGAUAACAGCGUAAUUUUUUUUGAGAGAUCUUAUUGAUAAAAAAGUUUGCGACCUCGAUGUUGAAUUAAGAUAAAAUUUUAAUGAAGAAGUUAAAAAUAUUUGGUCUGUUCGACCAUUAAAAUCUUACGUGAUCUGA
rnacentral:rRNA from 1 species